UGGGGAAUUUUGGACAAUGGGCGCAAGCCUGAUCCAGCAAUGCCGCGUGCAGGAUGAAGGCCUUCGGGUUGUAAACUGCUUUUGUACGGAACGAAAAAGCUCUCUCUAAUACAGGGGGUGAAUGACGGUACCGUAAGAAUAAGCACCGGCUAACUACGUGCCAGCAGCCGCGGUAAUACGUAGGGUGCAAGCGUUAAUCGGAAUUACUGGGCGUAAAGCGUGCGCAGGCGGUUUUGUAAGACAGAGGUGAAAUCCCCGGGCUCAACCUGUGAACUGCCUUUGUGACUGCAAAGCUGGAGUGCGGCAGAGGGGGAUGGAAUUCCGCGUGUAGCAGUGAAAUGCGUAGAUAUGCGGAGGAACACCGAUGGCGAAGGCAAUCCCCUGGGCCUGCACUGACGCUCAUGCACGAAAGCGUGGGGAGCAAACA
rnacentral:rRNA from 1 species